rnacentral:lncRNA from 1 species
CAGCAGGGUUUGUUUUACACAUAGAAAGAAUGAUUGACUAAUUUUUCAAACAUAGCUAUUACUGAAAAAGCUUCUUAUAUAGUUUUAAUUUUUAUCACAGUAAUGCACACUACAAAACAAAGCAGUAUGUGAUAGUCUAAUUGUGCAGGCCUCAUUUUACAGCCCCUUCUGCUUCAGGACUGGGUACCUUUCUUCAGAUGACAGUCACAUUCCCUUGGGAAAAAUCAGUGUAUGAGAAUGUAAUUUCUUGGAAGUGAUCUGCCAAUGGGUCUUUUGCCUUAUUUUAUUUCUUUUUUUGCCUUUCAACACUCCUCUCUCUCUCUCUCUCUCUCUCUCUCUCUCUCAGCAAGCUAACAACAGAAGGGUAGGAUCACUCUUGAUUCCAGCCAAAGGAUUUACCAAAUUAACCUGAGUGUUACGGUUUGCCUAUCUUUGUUUUAUAUCAGUGGUUCUCAACCUGUGGGUUCCCAGAUGUUUUGACCUACAACUCCCAGAAGCCCCAGCCAGUUUACCAGCUGUUAGGAUUUCUGGGAGUUGAAGCCAAAACAUCUGAGGACCCACAUGUUGAGAACCACUGUUUUACACAGUAUCCACCCCCAGAUCUUGAAAAAGUUACUUUUGAACUAGAAAAACCAAAAAUCCAUAGUUAACUAUUCCAGUCCAUGGCUGUCAGUAGUUAUUACAAUUUCCCAUUUGCAAAAAGGGAAUAAAAGAGAUACAUUAUUGUUACAGACAGGAUUUCUGUGCAGUAUUACACGCCCAAUACAUGACUAUACAGAAGUACACACAGCAUCACAAUCUUUAAAUCUUGGUUUUCGAUAUUGCUAAUGCUUCUUGGUUCAGGCUGCAUUAAAAGAUGUAUUUUACCUGUCUAUAUGUCACUAUGGAGAGCUAUGUGCAUGUGUAGUUUUUUUUUUGGGGGGGCCUUAUAUUUAGCAAUUCAGCAAAACCUCUAUUAGGUCUUAUUUUCUGGGGCUGUCUUAUUUUCGGGGAAACAGGGUAGCAGCAGAGGCCAUGGCUAGUUAUUUUUGACAGCUGAGGUAGACCAUUCCUCAAUUAUCUCUCUUCAUUUCUGCAAGUAAAACUACUAUUAUAAAUUAAAUUAAUUAUCUAUAAAUUAAUUAUAAAUGAAAUGAAAAAAAAAACAUUUGCUGACUUUCAUUACACAUAAAAUCGGCAACUUGAAGUGGCCGCCUCACUCUACCAGGAUUGAGGAGAUGGAUGAAUACAGAAGCUUGAUUUUGCAGGGAGUUUCAGCCUCUAGUGGCAUAUCUGCACCCCCAGUCUAGAGAUUUUACCAAUCAAGGGGGGUGAAUUGUUGCUGUCCACAUCCCAUUGCCAGUCUGCCUCCUCCCAACAAUAUUUCCAUUCCCCACUAUUAGCAGCCAAAGCCAUCAAUGCUGCCAGUCUAGCAACAUAUGCAUCACAUAU